rnacentral:rRNA from 1 species
UACGUAGGGUGCAAGCGUUGUCCGGAAUUAUUGGGCGUAAAGAGCUUGUAGGCGGUUUGUCGCGUCUGCUGUGAAAUUUCGGGGCUCAACCCCGAACUUGCAGUGGGUACGGGCAGACUAGAGUGUGGUAGGGGAGAUUGGAAUUCCUGGUGUAGCGGUGAAAUGCGCAGAUAUCAGGAGGAACACCGAUGGCGAAGGCAGGUCUCUGGGCCACUACUGACGCUGAGAAGCGAAAGCCAGGGAGCAAACGGG